rnacentral:tRNA from 1 species
UUAAUUGAAGCCAAAAAGAGGCAUUUCAUUGUUAAUGAAAUAAAUGACUUUUAGUCCAAUUAAA